UAUAUGUAUAUAUAUAUGCAGUGAUCCUACAACGGCGCGCGUUCGCGCACCGUCCAUUUGUAUUUCGCGCGUGUUGGUGCCUUCACCAAGGCACAGAAAGGAAGGGCCCUCUCGCGCAUGCACGAACCACCGGAAGCACGACCCUGGCCAAGGCAGGGGGAUCGUAGAACGUUUGACACUAGCAGCAGCAAGCGGCGACUUGGGACCCAGCGAUUGAAGCGGCGGUCACG